rnacentral:rRNA from 1 species
AGUGAACGCUGGCGGUAGGCCUAACACAUGUAAGUCGAACGGCAGCACAGUAAGAGCUUGCUCUUACGGGUGGCGAGUGGCGGACGGGGGAGGAAUACAUCGGAAUCUACUUUUUCGUGGGGGAUAACGUAGGGAAACUUACGCUAAUACCGCAUACGACCUACGGGUGAAAGCAGGUGAUCUUCUGACCUUGCGCGAUUGAAUGAGCCGAUGUCGGAUUAGCUAGUUGGCGGGGUAAAGGCCCACCAAGGCUACGAUCCGUAGCUGGUCUGAGAGGAUGAUCAGCCACACUGGAACUGAGACACGGUCCAGACUCAUACGGGAGGCAGCAGUGGGGAAUAUUGGACACUGGGCGCAAGCCUGAUCCAGCCAUACCGCGUGGGUGAAGAAGGCCUUCGGGUUGUAAAGCCCUUUUGUUGGGAAAGAAAAGCAGCAGGUUAAUACCCCGCUGUUCUGACGGUACCCAAAGAAUAAGCACCGGCUAACUUCGUG